rnacentral:rRNA from 1 species
CCUUGAAAAUGAAUGGCGCAUAUAGUAAUACCGAUAUUAUACAUUAAAAUUAUUUCAAAAUUUUAAAAGUAGGGGGAUGUGGAUAUCUUAGAGAAUUUUUAAUUGUAAAAUUGAAUUGAAAGAUAUCUAUUACAGAUCCUAAUUGAAGUAGCGAUUAUCCAGGUUAAUCUCCUGGGGGCUGAUGAGGAGUAGGGUUUCUGGGCAACUUAAACGGACCCAGAGUUAGUCGAUCCUAAUCAAAUUAAAUUUAGAGAAAGGGAAUAUGAAUGAUAUUUCAUAACUAAAAUUAAUUUUUAAAUGGUGACAUUUUUUUAAACUUAUUUCCAUCAAUUAAAUACUGUUUAAUAGGGAUUUCUUUCCUAUAUAACUUUUUAAUUAAAACUUAAGAAACAGGUUAACUGGAGAAUAAAGUUUUAAUUUAGUAAAAUUAUAAUUUCGAUUAUAAUAACGGCUAUUUAAAUGAUCCAUGAAACGAUAAGUUUAUUUUUUCAAAAAUUAAUUUAAUCGUACCGAUAACCGCAUCAGGUCUCCAAGGUGAGUAGCUUCUGGCCAUUGAGUAAUGGUAAUUUAGGGAAUUCGGCCAAUUAGAGCUGUAACUUCGGGAUAAAGCUUGGCUCUGAUGGAAAUCAGAACCGAUAGUUACAAGGAGAGCCCAACUGUUUAAUAAAAACUUAGUGUCGCGUCAUACCUUUAUAAGUAAUAAACGUGACAUGAAUCCUGCUCAGUGCUGUGUUUGUUAAACUGGAUUAAUCCAUUUAAGCGCCGGUAAAUAGCUGGGGUAACUAUGACUCUUAUCAAAGUAGCGAAAUACCUCGUCACUUAAUUAGUGACCUGCAUGAACGGAGCUAUGAGGUUCUCACUGUCCCAAAUUAUCACUCAGCGAACCAACAGUUGUGGGAACGGGCACAAAUUAUCCAGCGGGGAAAGAAGACCCUGUAGAGCUUCACUUUGGUCUAAUCUUGUAUAGUUUCGUUAGGGGUGCAGUCUAGGUGGGAGAUUUUUAAUCAAAUAUGAGAAACCACUACCCUUUCUGGAAUUAUACUUACUAAAAUUCUUUUCUAAAUUUUAGGAUCGGAUUAGAUAGAAAGUUUGGCUGGGGCGGCACACCUUCGAAAAAGCAGCGAAGGUGUCCUAAGUUAAGCUCAGUAAGGACAGAAAUCUUACGUUGAGGAUAAGGCCAAAAGCUUAAUUUACUGUGCCUUUUUGUACUAGGAUCAGUUUGGAAACAAAGGCCUAACGAUCCCUAAUUAGUCUUAGGUGUGUAAGACUUGGGGUGACAGACAAGUUACCUCCGGGACAACUGGCUUGUGGCUGCUAAGAGAUCAAAUCAACGCAGCUUUUUGAUUCUUCGAUGUCGGCUCUUCCUAUCCUAGUGAUGUACAAGUCACUAAGGGUUGGAUUGUUCACCCGUAUUAGGGAUCGUGAGCUGGGUUUAGACCGUCGUGAGCCAGGUUUGUUUUAUCCUACUGGAUAUAAUUUAGCAUCUUGAUAGUAGUUUGAUUUAGUACGAGAGGAACUGUUGAAUAUGGUCUCUGGUUUGGGAAUUUUAUGAAAAUAAAAGUUCCAAAGCUACGCCGUCUGAGAUAAUGGCUGAAGGCCUCUUAAGCCAGAAACUCAUCUAAAAAUAGAUGCUUUAAACUAUUUAAAAGAAUUAAAUUUAAAAUAUUUUUUUUAUUAAAAUUUGUUAAUAAUUCUUUAGUUUAAAUGACCAAAUGUAGAAGACGUUUUGUCAACAAGGGUCCUGUAAGUGUGAGAGUGGCAUUU